AGCAGCAGCCGCGGGAAUACAGAGGGUGCGAGCGUUAAUCGGAUUUACUGGGCGUAAAUCGUGCGUAGGCGGCUUCUUAAGUCGGAUGUGAAAUCCCUGAGCUUAACUUAGGAAUUGCAUUCGAUACUGGGAAGCUAGAGUAUGGGAGAGGAUGGUAGAAUUCCAGGUGUAGCGGUGAAAUGCGUAGAGAUCUGGAGGAAUACCGAUGGCGAAGGCAGCCAUCUGGCCUAAUACUGACGCUGAGGUACGAAAGCAUGGGGAGCAAACAGGAUUAGAUACCCCAGUAGUCCCUGUCUCUUAUAC
rnacentral:rRNA from 1 species